rnacentral:tRNA from 1 species
GCCCGAUUAGCUCAGCUGGUUAGAGCGUCGUACUAAUACUGGCAACAGUACAUAGUAAUGCGAAGGUCAACAGUUCAAUCCUGUUAUUGGGCA